rnacentral:rRNA from 1 species
CCUACGGGAGGCAGCAGUGGGGAAUAUUGCACAAUGGGGGCAACCCUGAUGCAGCGACGCCGCGUGAGUGAAGAAGUACUUCGGUAUGUAAAGCUCUAUCAGCAGGGAAGAAAAUGACGGUACUUGAUUAAGAAGCCCCGGCUAACUACGUGCCAGCAGCCGCGGUAAUACGUAGGGGGCAAGCGUUAUCCGGAUUUACUGGGUGCAAAGGGAGCGUAGACGGCAGGAGAAGUCUGGAGUGAAAUGCCGGGGCUUAACCCCGGAACUGCUGUGGAUACUGUGCAGCUAGAGUGCAGGAGAGGUAAGUGGAAUUCCUGGUGUAGCGGUGAAAUGCGUAGAUAUUAGGAGGAACACCAGUGGCGAAGGCGGCUUACUGGACUGUAACUGACGUUGAGGCGCGAAAGCGUGGGGAGCAAACAGGAUUAGAUACCCUGGUAGUC